rnacentral:rRNA from 1 species
GACGAACGCUGGCGGCGUGCUUAACACAUGCAAGUCGAACGGAAAGGCCCUGCUUUUGUGGGGUGCUCGAGUGGCGAACGGGUGAGUAGCACGUGAGUAACCUGCCCUUGACUUUGGGAUAACUUCAGGAAACUGGGGCUAAUACCGGAUAGGAGCUCCUGCUGCAUGGUGGGGGUUGGAAAGUUUCGGCGGUUGGGGAUGGACUCGCGGCUUAUCAGCUUGUUGGUGGGGUAGUGGCUUACCAAGGCUUUGACGGGUAGCCGGCCUGAGAGGGUGACCGGCAACAUUGGGACUGAGAUACGGCCCAGACUCAUACGGGAGGCAGCAGUGGGGAAUAUUGCACAAUGGGCGGAAGCCUGAUGCAGCAACGCCGCGUGCGGGAUGACGGCCUUCGGGUUGUAAACCGCUUUCGCCUGUGACGAAGCGUGAGUGACGGUAAUGGGUAAAGAAGCACCGGCUAACUACGUG